UACGAAGGGGGCUAGCGUUGCUCGGAAUCACUGGGCGUAAAGCGCACGUAGGCGGAUCUUUAAGUCAGGGGUGAAAUCCUGGAGCUCAACUCCAGAACUGCCUUUGAUACUGAGGAUCUUGAGUUCGGGAGAGGUGAGUGGAACUGCGAGUGUAGAGGUGAAAUUCGUAGAUAUUCGCAAGAACACCAGUGGCGAAGGCGGCUCACUGGCCCGUUACUGACGCUGAGGUGCGAAAGCGUGGGGAGCAAACAGG
rnacentral:rRNA from 1 species